rnacentral:pre_miRNA from 1 species
CUAAGUAGUAGUGCCGCAGGUAAUGAGAUAGCAAUUUUACCUGCUGCCCACUGCUUAACA